GCACAUUUCUCUCCUUUGCUGAUAGGGCCUGCGUGCUGAUAGUUGAUUCAGUGAAUAUAUGUAGCAGUGAUAGCUCAUGGGCUCCAGAGGUCAGAUAUCUUAUUCUCUAGGCUGAAACCCUUGUUGCUUUAAGGAAACAGGAUUUUAAUAGGAAUCACAUGCAGAUUGACUACAGGGAGCCAAGCGGUAGUGGAAGAAGCAAAGUUGGCGGUUUUGGAGACGGACGUCUAUCUAUCCACAGUGGGACAAAAAUGAAGGUUAUUGAAAAGAAUCAUGCUUGGUGGAAGAAGUAAUUACAUUUUUUUUUCAAAUCUCAGAGGAAUAAUGCUUUUAUAUUUCCUGCGAUGACCCAAUUUGCACUACGAUAUGCUCCCUUAAAUGUAAGUGUGCGGACACCCUCGCCCUGUAUUGUUUUUCACUGGUAAAGAUGCCCUGUCGUACCUCAGAUUAAUUUCUGUACUGGUCUCCCAAUACACAAAAGCAACUGCACCAUGGUUGUCCGUUUUUACAAUGAUGAGUAAAAAAUGGCAGACUUGGCCAGUUGUCCCCCCAAAAAAAGUCAGAGAGUCAAGUAGCUGCAGCUAUAAAUCAUCUUCUCAAAUUGUGUGAUUCAGGGCCACUGACCUGUCUUGAGCGGGAAGGAAGUGGCCUGAGUGCUCCAAAGGAGAGCUGGGGCUCUAGCUUCAGCAGCCAGGUGCUGGUUAAUUGGACUGGAAGAAAGGGUUUCUUACUCCUAGUCCUUGUUCUCCAGCCUUACUGUAUAUGCAUCUAUCUCUAGAACUCUGCUAUCCACAGCUAUACAGGAACAAGCUUCAGAAAUAUCUUUUCUCUACAAUGAGAGGUAGUAUUUUAAAAACUGUAUUAAAUAUUUGUUAAAAUGUGUGUAUCUAGCAACAUGAUUGCUAAGAAAGACUCCAAAAUAGUGUUUAAUACCUCUGAGCCAUUCUUUGAUUAUUUUUAUUAAAAUGCUUAAAGCACUUUCUGGAAAUUUAUUUGUGUUUGAUAUAGAUAGGAACUCACUGUGCAUAAAACUAAGCUUAGUUUUGAAAUGUCAAACAAACCUUCUAUGACCUUUGGCUUGCAGUGAGGUAAACAUUUAUUUGGGAAAUACGUAUGUGUGAUUGCUUCUCGCUAUUUUGGCUAAGAUCAAGUGUAGGAAAUAUAUGUAUGUCGCCUGUUCCAGUUUACUUACAAACAAAUUCUUGAUUUUCGGAAAAAAAUGAUCACGCAUUGUGUCAUUUAGCAUGUUAGAAGGCCCUAAUCUUAACUCUUUUCAACCUCCAAAAAAGAUGGGUGCUUAAACAAUGUUAAUGAGGAAAAUAAAUGAAGAUGUUAAUGAGGUUUCUACCUUUCUUAAGGAAAUGUUUAGAUUUUUAUUUCUUAUACUCAUUUUCUCAUACUAGCUAUGGAAAUAAUGAUGAGGAUAAUUUGGGGUGAUUUGUUCUGAGAGCUGACAGGGAGGUAGGGUUUCUAUCACCUGCAGUAACUCAAAGGGAAGUACACACGAGCCCUAGACUACCAGAUAUUCAACAAACACUUGCACUGUAUGACUAAGAAAAGAGAAUUUGCUUCUGUUUCACUAACAUGGACUUCUGACACUUUACAUAAAUGAUCAUAAUGUUGAUGUUUAGUGGUUAAUGGACAUUUAUGGCCUCUGAGAAGGCCUGUGCCACCAGAUAACUCAUGCUCAAGAACACGACUGUAGAUUUGAGUAAUCUUGUAAUGAAUCAUUAGGUAUAAAAAGACCCUUAAUAUUGCUCUCUUUUCUUUCUUUAUUGUACUUUAAGUUCUGGGAUACAUGUGCAGAAUGUGCAGGUUUGUUACAUAGGUAUACACAUGCCAUGGUGGUUUGCUGCACCCAUCAACCCGUCAUCUAGGUUUUAAGACCGCAUACAUUAGAUAUUUGUCCUAAUGUUCUCCCUCCCCUGGCCCCCCACCCCUGGACAGGUCCCAGUAUAUUUUGUUCCCCUUGCUGUGUCCAUGUGUUCUCAUUGUUCAACUCCCACUUAUGAGUAAGAACAUGUGGUGUUUGGUUUUCUGUUCUUGUGUUAGUUUGCUGAGAAUGAUGGCUUCCAGCUUCAUCCAUGUCCCUGCAAAGGAUAUGAACUUAUUUUUUAUGGCUGCAUAAUAUUCCAUAGUAUUUAUAUGCCACAUUUUCUUUAGCCAUUCUAUUAUUGAUGGGUAUUUGGGUUGGUUCCAUCUCUUUGCUAUUGUAAAUAGUGCUGCGAUAAACUUACGUAUGCAUGUGUCUUUAUAGUGGAAUGAUUUAUAAUCCUUUGGGCAUAUAACAGUAAUGAGAUUGCUGGGUGAAAUGGUAUUUCUGGUUCUAGAUCCUUGAGGAAUUGCCUCACUGUCUUCCACAAUGGCCAAACUAAUUUACACCUCCACCAACCAUGUAAAAGUGUUCCUAUUUCUCUACAGCCUUGCCAGCAGCUGUUGUUUUCUGACUUUUUAAUAAUUGCCAUUCUGACUGGUGUGAGAUGGUAUCUCAUUGCGGUUUUGAUUUACAUUUCUUUAAUGACCAGUGAUGAUGAGUUUCUUUUCAUAUGUUUGUUGUCUGCGUAGGUGUCUUCUUUUGAGAAGUGCCUGUUCUUCUUCACUCACUUUUUGAUUUUUUUUUCUUGUAAAUUUGUUUAACUUCCUUGUAUAUUCUGGAUAUUAGCCCUUUGUCAGAUGGGUAGAUUACAAAAAAUUUCUCCCAUUCUGUAGGUGGCCUGUUCACUCUGAUGCUAGUUUCUUUUACUUUGAAGAAGCUCUUUAGUUUAAUUAGAUCCCAUUGGUCAAUUUUGGCUUUUGUUGCAAUUUCCUUUGGUGUUUUAGUCAUGAAGUCUUUGCCCAUGCCUGUGUCCUGAAUGGUAUUGCCUAGGUUUUCUUCCAGGGUUUUUAUGGUUUUGGGUUUUACGUUUAAGUCUUUAAUUCAUCUUGAGUUAAUUUUUGUAUAAGGUGUAAGGAAGGGGUCCAGUUCCAGUUUUCUGCAUAUGGCUAGCCAGUUUUCCCAGCACCAUUUAUUAAAUAGGGAAUCCUUUCCCCAUUGCUUGUUUUUGUCAGUUUUGUCAAAGAUCAGUGUUGGAAAUGUAUUGGCAAUGUCUAAGCUCUGACUAGUGAUUGAGGA
rnacentral:lncRNA from 1 species